rnacentral:rRNA from 1 species
UACGUAGGGAGCGAGCGUUGUCCGGAUUCAUUGGGCGUAAAGAGCUCGUAGGCGGCUUGUCGCGUCGUCCGUGAAAACUUGGGGCUCAACCCCAAGCUUGCGGUCGAUACGGGCAGGCUAGAGUUCGGUAGGGGAGACUGGAAUUCCUGGUGUAGCGGUGAAAUGCGCAGAUAUCAGGAGGAACACCGGUGGCGAAGGCGGGUCUCUGGGCCGAUACUGACGCUGAGGAGCGAAAGCGUGGGGAGCGAACAGG